GGGCGACCUUGCAAGGAAACAUUGGUGACGGUAGGAAGCUCGGUUAGUGCUCGUGUGAUAGCUGAACCUUAUAAAAAGGAAAUGAAUAGCUGGUAGUGACACCCACUGGGCAUCCAUUUCAACCUAAUUCUCUGAAAUUUGGGACAUCUACUCAGGUGCAUAAGAAAUUGAAUCUCAACGUUGUUUGUGUUGUCUGUGCAACCUAGCCUGUGGUGGAGUGACAUAUCUGCUCCUGUUGCUCUUUCUACGCAACCUAGUCUGCAAUCAGUUGGAGUUGGACCACGUGGAAGUGGUACCAAGAUGAAUAAUAUGAUGUUGACAUCGGAGGAUGCUGAAUAGAAAGAUGAUCAAAGUGCCAAAGAUGGAUGAGAAAUCGACAAUACCGACGCGGGCAAAUCUCUUUAUUGGGAAUCGUUCUGCUGAAAAUGGUAUGUUGCUAUCAUAUGUUCCCCCAGAAAUUGUUGGUGGUAAUAUAGUGGUCACAUUAGACUAGGAAGAAUGUAUUAGUGAGACAACAAAGUGGAAGUGUGCAUUGAACAACAAAGUGGAAGUGUGCAUUGAACAACAAAGUGUGCAUUGAACAACAAAGUGGAAGUGUGCAUUGAACAACAUAAGUGUGCAUUGAUUGCAUAUGUAGUAAGGUGUCGUUUAACCAGUGUGCAUUGAACAACAAAGUGGAAGUGUGCAUUGAUUGCAUAUGUAGUAAGGUGUCGUUUGGUUAAAAAUGUAGUUAUACUGGGAUUAGUUAUGUUGGGAUAAGUUAUGAUGGAAUAAGUUAUAAUGGGAUUAGUUAUGCUGGGAUUAUUUUUUGUUGAGUGUUUGAUUUGUUGUUUUCAAAUUAAUAUGCAUGGUAUAAUUUCUAAGAAUAAAAUAUUUGAUUACCAAAAUACUCUAUCUUAUUUAACUUUUUUUUGUUUAUAUAUAUUUAUUUUCAAACUUUAAAUAUUUAUUCUUAAAAAUAAAACUUUCAUUUUAUUUUGCUUAAUUUUUUUGUGUGUGUAUUUUAAAAAUAAAACUUUCAUCUUAUUUAACUUUAAUUUUUUUGCAUGUGCCUUUCCAUGAUUAUACCGUGUGCGUUUUUAAAAAAAAGAACUUACUACAUCUUAUUUAGUUUGAAUGAAAAACUUCCAACUUAAGUUUGUUAAAGUAAAAGAAGAUUUGUUGUUUAUGUCACUUCAUUUAAACACAUAUUACUCAUAUAUUAUAGAAUAUUAAAAUUCAUUUUAAUUGAUAUACACAAUAUCAAUUUUCAAGUUAUAAAAAACUAUUUAAUUUAAAAUAUGUAAUUGAACAAUAGAGUCGAUUGUGAAACGAUAAUGUGUAUUAAAACUAGGCAAUGCCUUUGUAGUUGUUAAAAUAUUUUAUAGAUUACUAGUGAAGGGUAAUUAUUAUUAUAAAAUAUACUUACUUUAGUUAAUCUUUUCAUUGUGUAGUAAGAACUUUUUGUGUUAUCAAUUCACAAAAAUAACACUUGGAAGGAAAAAGUUGAUGUUAAAUUUCAUUUUUCUAUGCUUAAAAAAUUAUAGUACCUACAUUUUGUUGGAUAUAUAAAAAAUUAUAGUACCUAGUUUUGAUCCUUAUUAUGUAUGAAUCUAACAUAUUUUAUUUUUUAAUUUGUUAAUUUUGCAUUUUGAUCUUUUAUAUAAGAAAAUAACGUAUACGUUUAUAAAAUUCACAAGUAAUGGAAUGAAAAAAAAUGCAAAGUUUAAUUAAUAAGAGGCUAAUUUUUCUUAGUCAUAUAUUUCCUUCGUUCCAAAAUAAAAUAUUUUAAUAUUUUUAAUUUGUCAUAAAUAACACGUUUUAGAAAAUCAAGUAGAUAUCAAUAAUCUUUUUUCAAUUUCAAAAGCAAUAAUUAAAGAUGAUGAAAAAGAUUGGAGAAAUGUGUUUGUAAUGGAUUUGGGAUAUUUUUAUCAUUUUAUAAUUUAUCCCGGGAUAAAUUAAGGUGGGAUAACUUAUACCACCAAAUAUGUGGUAUAACUUAUCCCGAGACUAUUAUUAAUCCCGGGAUAAGUUAUCCCAAGUAUUGUCAAACCAAACGAUUUAUUAAAAAGUUUAUUCCGGGACUAUUAUUUUAUCCCGGGAUAACUUGUCUUAGUACCUCAUAUCAAACGGCCCCUAAGAGAUACUCGAGAACAUUUAGUUGAAAGGCCACAUUGAAAAUUUAUUUUGAGAAAUAGACAUCUUUUUUUGUUUGACCUAAUUUUUUAGGUUUUUGUGGGAUAUGGGUUAAAGUGUAAAAAAAAAAAUCUUUUGGCACCUCUUAUGUAUUUGUUGAAUCUUUUGGAACCUCUUAUGUAUUUAUUAAAUACUUUCUCCGUUUAAAAAAGAAUGACCUACUUUGAUUUGACACAAAGUUUAAGAAAAUAGAGAAGACUUUUGAAUCUUGUGGCCUUAAUUUAAAGUUGUGUCAAAUGUACCAAAAUGCCCUUUAAUCUUGUAGUCCUAAACAUACUAUGUAGAAAAUUGAAAUUAAAGUAUUGCAAAAAAAAAGGGCCAUUCUUUUUUGAAACGGACUAAAAAAAAAGUAGGUCAUUCUCUUUUAAACAGAGGGAAUACAUUUUUAACCCCACUCUAUCCCACUCUAUCAUUAAAUACAAAAAAAAAUUCUCUCUCAUCUUCUCUCGUUACUCUCUCCCACUUCAUCUCCCCUUUCCACCAUUUUUCAAUUUCGAGCUUGUAUAAAUCAUCUCUAACUUCGAUCUUCAACUUCAGAUAAGUUAUAUUCAUCUUUUGAUUAAUUUGUGCCCUAUAUUAAUGAGUUUUUUUAUUUUAUUUUUUUCGAAUUCGUUGUGGCGGUUGAACUCGUUGGAGUUAAAAAAUUUUGAUUUUUUUUUUAAUAUGGGGCUUGAUUUUACUGAAAUUGGUUGUUUUUAGUUGAUAUUUACUUGAUUGUUGAUGGAUGAUUGGUGUAUAUCGAUUAUCCUUGGCGAUUGCAUGUUGAAAUUUCAUCACUAAUUUUGUCGAAAUGUGGCAAGAUAUGUGAUUUUUGUUCAAACUUUUCUCCAAUAUAAUGGUGUUGUAGAAGCACGUUCAUGUUUGGGAUUCCUAUUGGUUUGAAUCAUAUUCGUAUUUGAUAUUUGGACCCGAAAAAUUAUUUUAAAAAAAAAAAAAUGGGGUUUGAUUUUACUUAAAAUUUGUGUUUUUAAGUUGGUAUUUGGUUUGUCGUGCAUUAUUUUUGUUGGAUUUUAAUUUCCCUCGAUGAUUGCGUUGAGAUUUUUUUGCCAAUUUUUCUCUAUUUUCGUGCUAAAAAUUCUAGUUCAUUUCUAUUUUUGUUCAAUAGAAUGGUGAUUUAGAUGAAUGUUCUUAUGGGUGAUGGAGUUGUUUUGGAAGAAACUUCUUCUACAAAUAGGUUUUUUUGGUGUUGCAACUGUUGUCAUGUUAAUAGACUGUUAGGUCGAUUAGGUAUUGUAUUUGUUGAUAGAGUUGAGAAAUGUUAUUUUUUGUCCGUAGAUCAUAACAAAUGGCUAGAGGUAACAACCACAAGGCUGUAGAAGUUGAUAGAUCUGAGAAAAAAAAGAGUAGUCGAUGAAUCAGAGAAUAGAAAUUACAGCGAGGAAGCUAUUGAAGCUUCGGUUCGAGAUGAGCCGGAGGAAAUAAAAAUUGAGGCUAGGAUAGAUGAGGAAGCAUUGAUCUUGCCCACUGUGCAAGGUUUAUUUCGACUGAGAGAUACGACCUCGCUAUAGUCCUGGAUGAUGUCGGAUCAUUUCCGGCUAAGAUAUCCGUUAUGUCCCAUUUAAAAAUGUUUUAUGAAUUCAAACAAGUCAUGGUUGAUCAACGUCUGAAGUCUAGGUUUAAGAAUUCCUGGUUUGGUGGUUUACGGGACUUUCCAGAACAUAGAAAGUUCAACGGACAUCUUGUCCACUAUACACUUCUUCGCCGAGUUAAACAGGACAACAAACUGCAUGAAAUAUGGUUCGGCAUCUAUGACAGUCCUGAAGGAGUUUCCGCUAAUCACGACUUUAAAUUGUGGGCGUUAUCCCCAUGAUUCAAAAUAUGUCAAAGCGAUGGAAAAGGGUGAAGCUUUUUUGAAAAAGAUUGCGAAAAAAAGAGGAGUGUAAAUGCAAAAAAAUUGUUGAAGCUUAUUAGAGGUGAGAGGCUGGACAAGGAGGACAAGUUCAAAUGCUACUUGGUUUGGUUCGUGCACUGCAUAUUGUUUGCACACGACUUGUCAAAAAUCGUGGACAUAGACACCAUCAAGAUGGUGGAUAACUUGGGCUUCUUUGAGAGAUACCCUUGGGGUAAGAAGUCAUUUACCUUGACUCUAGACUAUCUAAAGAGCGGACAGACUUCAGCAGGCAGAAGAAGACAUUUGUGACAAAGGGAAUUUCAUCAUACGCGCUCUACAGAUUUCCCUGGGCAUUUAUGGUAUUUGAUUAUAAACCAUUGAAGUAUUUUAUUAUAUACUGUAAUUCAUCUAUGGUAUGUAUACUAUACUGACUCUCAGUUAUAUGUUUUUGUUUUUACUUUUGAUCACAAAUUUGGAUAUACGAAGCCUUUCCUGCGUUUGGCAGGGAAAAUGGUAAAUCAACUGAAGACUCACUGCCCAUUCCCCGAUUGCUCAGAUGACACACCUCAAAAGACGAUAAACUAAUCGAAGGUGAUCCAUAUUUGAACGGAUGGAGCAUAAAGGUAUGAAACUAUCUUUUCGAACAAUAGUUUUACCAAUAUUGUGUUGCUAAUCAAUCACAUUUGCCUAUUUAUCUGUAGAGAGUGCACCCGUACCUCAUCUCCACAGUCCGUGAAAUGAAGCAACACUACAUGAAAAAGUUUAAAG
rnacentral:lncRNA from 1 species